rnacentral:rRNA from 1 species
UACGUAGGGCGCAAGCGUUGUCCGGAAUUAUUGGGCGUAAAGAGCUCGUAGGCGGUCUGUCGCGUCGGCUGUGAAAACGCGAGGCUCAACCUCGCGCCUGCAGUGGGUACGGGCAGACUAGAGUGCGGUAGGGGAGAUUGGAAUUCCUGGUGUAGCGGUGGAAUGCGCAGAUAUCAGGAGGAACACCGAUGGCGAAGGCAGAUCUCUGGGCCGUAACUGACGCUGAGGAGCGAAAGCGUGGGGAGCGAACAGG